rnacentral:pre_miRNA from 1 species
AAAGUACUCCCUCCGUCCCAAAAUUCUUGUCUUAGAUUUCUCUAGAUACGGAUGUAUCAAGUCACAUUUUAUUAUUAGAUACAUCCAUAUCUAGACAAAUCUAAGACAAGAAUUUUGGGACAGAGGGAGUAGUUC